CCUGGCGGCGAUAGCGGAGGGGCAACACCCGUUCCCAUACCGAACACGGCAGUUAAGUCCUCCAGCGCCGAUGGUACUGCGACUUGUGGGAGAGUAGGUCGUUGCCAGGA
rnacentral:rRNA from 1 species